rnacentral:snRNA from 1 species
UUUCUUACCUGCCAGGGGAAAUACUAUGACCACUGAGGUGGUUUUCCCAGGGGCAGGGAACGGCUGCUUUUCUGGCACGGUGUAGUACCCAUGGUGUUAAUGUAUAGUUAACCUCUCACUUUCAUUUCCAGUGGGAAGAUCUUGGCUUUACGCCCACUUUAU